rnacentral:rRNA from 1 species
GACGAACGCUGGCGGCGUGCCUAAUACAUGUAAGUCUGUCGAAGUUUUUCUGGUGCUUGCACUAGAAAAAAUUAUCGGCGAACGGGUUAGUAACACGUAAAGAACCUGCCUCAUAGACUGGGACAACUAUUGGAAACGAUAGCUAAUACCGGAUAACAGUAUUUCUCGCAUGAGUGAUAUUUAAAAGUUUGUUAUGCUAACACUAUCAGAUGGCUUUGCGGUGCAUUAGCUAGUUGGUGGGGUAAAGGCCCACCAAGGCGACGAUGCAUAGCCGACCUGAGAGGGUGAUAGGCCACACGGGGACUAAGAAACGGCCCAGACUCCUACGGGAGGCAGCAGUAGGGAAUCUUCAGCAAAGGGCGAAAGCCUGAAGGAGCAACGCCGAGUGCGUGAAGAAGGAGUUCGGUUCGUAAAGCACUGUUGUUAGGGAAGAAUGGAUAUGUAGUAACUAUACAUGUAAGAGACGGUACCUAAGCAGAAAGCCACGGAUAACUACGUG